UCUGUCAACACGGGAAAUCUCACCAAGCCCGGACACCGAAAGGAUUGACAGAUUAAGAGCUCUUUCUCGAUUUGGUGGGUGGUGGUGCAUGACCGUUCUUAGUUGGUGGAGUGAUUUGUCUGGUUAAUUCCAAUAACAAACGAGACUCUGUCCUGAUAAAUAGAGCUAACGUCAUUUUUUUUUUUUUUUGUGUUGCCGUUUCUUCUUAGAUGGACUGGGGGCGUCUAGCCACACGAGAAGUUUCUUCUUUAAUAUGCCUAUUAUACACUCAAUUUUC
rnacentral:rRNA from 1 species